rnacentral:rRNA from 1 species
CCUACGGGAGGCAGCAGUGGGGAAUAUUGGACAAUGGGGGGAACCCUGAUCCAGCGACGCCGCGUGAGUGAAGAAGUAUUUCGGUAUGUAAAGCUCUAUCAGCAGGGAAGAAAAUGACGGUACCUGACUAAGAAGCCCCGGCGAACUACGUGCCCGCAGCCGCGGUAAUACGUAGGGGGAAAGCGUGAUCCGGAUUUACUGGGGGUAACGGGAGCGUAGACGGUGCCGCACGUCUGAUGGGAAAGGUCGGGGCCCAACCCCGGGACUGCAUUGGAAACUGUUGAACUGGAGUACAGGAGAGGUCACCGGAAUUCCUAGUGUAGCGGUGACAUGCGUAGAUAUUAGGAGGAACCCCA